rnacentral:tRNA from 1 species
CAAAAGCGCUGGCCUUGUAAGACAGAGAUGGAAUACACACACCUUCCCAGGAGUA